rnacentral:rRNA from 1 species
CCUACGGGUGGCUGCAGUGGGGAAUAUUGCACAAUGGGCGCAAGCCUGAUGCAGCCAUGCCGCGUGUGUGAAGAAGGCCUUCGGGUUGUAAAGCACUUUCAGCGGGGAGGAAGGCGUUAAGGUUAAUAACCUUGGCGAUUGACGUUACCCGCAGAAGAAGCACCGGCUAACUCCGUGCCAGCAGCCGCGGUAAUACGGAGGGUGCAAGCGUUAAUCGGAAUUACUGGGCGUAAAGCGCACGCAGGCGGUCUGUCAAGUCGGAUGUGAAAUCCCCGGGCUCAACCUGGGAACUGCAUUCGAAACUGGCAGGCUAGAGUCUUGUAGAGGGGGGUAGAAUUCCAGGUGUAGCGGUGAAAUGCGUAGAGAUCUGGAGGAAUACCGGUGGCGAAGGCGGCCCCCUGACAAAGACUGACGCUCAGGUGCGAAAGCGUGGGGAGCAAACAGGAUUAGAUACCCGAGUAGUC